rnacentral:sRNA from 1 species
UCGUACCCAUAUCCGCAGCAGGUCUCC